UGGCUCAGUGGUUAAGAGCACUGACUGCUUUUCCAGAGAUCCUGGGUUCAAUUCCCAG
rnacentral:tRNA from 1 species